rnacentral:lncRNA from 1 species
UCAUAGCUGCUAGCCCUCUCUGUUCACAAAAUGUCUUUAUGACAUAACAAGUCAAGAUGAUGCAGGCAUUAGACAUAUGUACCAUCUCUUGUUCAUAAUUGCUAACGAAGACUUUAAACUUCACUUGUAAUUUGGAUAUGGAUGUCUCAUAAUAAUUUUUUAAAAAGUAAUCCAGUUUUUUUCCUGUUGCAUAGUUAAAAAUAUUAUGCCCUGCAGGGCCCACAGACAUCAGAUAGGGAAAGAGAACAGAACUGAUUUCAUGUAUAUAUCAGGAGCAUUUAUUCGUUCAUUCAUUCAUUCAUGCACUCAUUCAUUCAUUCUGGAUAGGGAUUGAUUGGUUGAGUUUUGUUCUCAAUUCCAAUAAAGGCAAAAUAAAUACUCACAAAUGCAUUUUCCUGAGAGUGCUCAACAACAUCUUGCCCUUCUUUUCUGCUUCUGUCUCUCUUCUCCCUCCUUGACAGUGGAACUCCCAGGGAAGCAGGCAGAUAAGGAAAGCUCAGAGACUCUUGCUCUCUCUUGCUCCUCUCUUGCUCUCCUGCCCUUGCUCUGUCCUCUGUCCUCUCGCCUCUUCCACCGUCUCUCUCUGUGUUCUCAUGACCGGUCUCUACUCCUCUACUUCUCUACUCUCUCUCUCCCCGUCUGCCUUUCUUUGACUCUACUACCCUCUUAACUCCCCUCCCCAUGCCCUUAAUAAACUCUAUUCUAUAAAAAAAGGAGAGCUCAGAGAAACAGGAACCAAACCCUCUCCUUCGUGUUCUUUCUGGGUCUCUCCCGAAGUCUUGGUGGCAUCCGCAGUUCACUUUCAUAUCAGUAAAUACUCUCAUUGGCAUAGGUACUAAAAGGAUUCUUCUAGAAAUCCAUUGAUUGGAGAGGGUAGGAAUGGUUUUAUUUCUCUCUUUGACUCUUGUCUGUGAGGGAGCAGAAAGACGGUCAUGGCAGCAAGAGGAUGGAGAAGUCCUAGGCCACACAAAGACCCAUGUUGUACCAUAACACAUCAAGGCCUUAGGGCCUGGUAGAAGAGGAAGUCAAAGAACUUUCCUUUCUUCACCAUGUGACCUUCUGCCAUUUCACCUGAUUUUCAUGUCAAUAAAUGGGCACCUUUGUCUUCAUCAGGAAGUCUUUGACUAUGAUGAAGUCCAUGCCCAUGCAGGUCUUGAUGGCUCCUCCUGCCUGCGCUUUCUAGGCCUAGCAGAAGUGAUGAGUUGUGACAGUCUUCAGGAGUGCUUGCCCCAGUGUCACCCAUCAUUACAUGCUUGUCCUACUAGUACCAAUAAAAAAAGUUAUUAACCCCAGAUUAUUUAAUUCAUUUUUAAUGGGCAUAUUCAAAUCUAUGCAUGUCUUCCCUUAUGGUUGACACAUCUUUUCAAAAAUACAAUGAGCUUGCUUAAAUGAAUUCAGGAACUCUUCCCAUGUUAUGUCUCUCUGACUUUUAGAUGAAUCUUAAGUCAGAAACAUCAACUGAAAAAUACAGACCUAAUGGCCUGGUAAAGGUGGCCACUUUAAAGGUGGUAAAUGGUGCCAAUUUAAAGCACCAAGUAAUUCUAAUGGAGCCAUUACUUUUAUCUCCAUUUAACAGAUUAGAAAAGUGAGGCACAGAGAGGUUAGGUAGUUCACCUGAUGCUAUGAUUUGUUCAUUGAGUGUGGGAUAUGAUUCAAAGCUGAUAUUCUGGCCCAGAUCCGCAUGAUCUGGCCUGGAUGUCGCAUGCCUCUUGUUAUUACAUCAGUGCUGUACACCAGGGUUUCUUUGGAUUGCGGAAUGAGUGUGUCUGUAAGAAGGGAGCCUUUGGAUGGUCUGUGGUGUUGUCUAUGUAGUCUUAGGAGGGCCUCUCCCCGUCUCUCUGAAAGAUACUGUUGUCAUUUGGUUCUAAGCCUGUUCCACUUUAUUGCCUUUUAGUAUGAGGGCAGGAAAAACAGGUUCUUACUUAAAAUUGGAGUUGUUAUGGAAGGUGCCAGGUUUGGACUGUCUUCGUAUUUCAGGGAUGUGACAAGCCUUUGCUAUUGAAGCUUUCUAGUUGGCAGCGUUAGUAGGUGCACGUUGACAUUUCUGUCUACAUUCCUGUGUCUUAGAGGGAAAAUAAGUUUGCCAGUGUUUAUCUUCCUGAGUAUUACUUGACAUUAGUGCUGCCCGAGAAGCCAAACUUGCUUGAACCAGUCACCCAGAUGGCCAGACUGGGUGGCGAACCUGCCUUAACGAUGCUCGGCGGUUGACACGUGGGGCUGUGAGGUGUGCUGCUCCCUCGUCUGUGCCAGGCAUGCAGAGCGUGUUCUUUGAUGGGGUGAGACAGAUGGUACCCUGCAAUCUAAAAUGAUGAGGCAGGAAAGAAAAGUUG